rnacentral:sRNA from 1 species
CCAGUGCCACAAAGCAAACUGCUACACAGCAUUCCAUGUGACGUGUGCCCAGAAGGCUGGCCUGUACAUGAAAAUGGAGCCCGUGAAGGAACUGACUGGCGGUGGCACCACCUUCUCCGUCAGAAAGACCGCUUACUGUGAUGUCCACACGCCUCCAGGCUGCACCCGGAGGCCUCUGAAUAUUUACGGGGAUGUCGAAAUGAAAAAUGGCGUCUGUCGAAAAGAGAGCUCGGUUAAAACGGUCAGGUCCACAUCCAAGGUCAGGAAGAAGGCAAAAAAGGCUAAGAAAGCUGUGGCUGAGCCCUGCGCGGUCCUGCCGACCGUGUGCGCUCCUUAUAUUCCCCCACAGAGGUUCAUGAGAAUGCAAAGUAGAAAGUGUCUUAAAAGAGACCGUGAUCAGCAGGCAGAUGGCCUGUGUCGGUUCCUUUGACUGCUUCAGGUCUUCCAGGACGAGCUCCCCUACUACGAGAGCCUGGACUUCAGCCUCACGGACAAGAGCCUCAGAUAGGCAAGGCUUU